UUAAUAGUAGUCCAGUAAAACACAAUCAGUUAAUCAUUAUAUUCAAAAUGUCUUUCUUGGCUGAAAUGGUUUGCUGAAAGUAAUAUUUUACAGGCAAGAGGCAUGAAAUAUGUGAUAUGCAGAAGAUGCAAAUUUGUGGCAAUUAUAAAUAAACUAUGCAUGAGGCAAUGCUGCUGGAAAUGGCAGGGAGACUAUGAAGUUCUCACUUGAGAAAUAUGACUGUUUAACAGUAAGAAGCCUUGUGAAGUGAUGGAAAAUGGAAGUUUUUAGUUUUCAAUAAUUCUCUGAUCUAUUUAUAAAAGCUACUUUUCCCAUAUAAAUUUGAUUUGCCUACCAUAUGGUCAUAUAUGAUAGACUUGAUCUGGCAACGAAGUAAUAAUUUCAUGGUCGAUAAAGUGUCUAGCUUUGAUUAGAUCAAUAAUUAAAGACAUAUUAUUUAUUUAAUAGAUUUAAAUUCGAG
rnacentral:misc_RNA from 1 species